rnacentral:rRNA from 1 species
AUGGCUAGCUCUGUCCUCGCUGAGGUAGAGCUUGAGCUUUCCCGGGGAUGGUUCUGGUCGAGUGCCUCGGCGGGAGUUUUUUGGGGCUCGGCUUGCUGUGGGUUCAUGAAUGCUUAUGAACAAGAUGAGAGGAUUGUUUUAUUUGCAAACAAGAUCAAGGACUGGGUCAACGUGGUCGUCGCGCACGAACCAGUGUGGGCCAUUGACACCGGUAAAGUUGCAUCACCGGCUCAAGCACAUGAAGAGUCUGAAGGUGGUAGCUUACUGAACUCUCAUUUUGGAAAAAAUCUGGAGAUGUGUAGUGUUGAUAAAGAAAUGCAGCUGCUACCUGGAUUUGCCGUCGCCGCCUCGAGUAGCUUUCGCCUGGAAAUCCAGUCGCCAGCAUGUCACGCGUCGUCUUUGCCUGCCAGGGUUGGCGCUGCUACUUGGCCGGUUACAGCGAGUAGGAAGCUGAUAGGGUGGUAUUUCUCUCUGGUCAGCCAAGGAGUUUGCAUGUCUCUCGGUUCUCUGGGACCAGGUUGCUCAUCAACUGGAUGUGGAGUUGCUUCUGAGCUGGACCUCUCCCAUGAUCACUACAUAGAAAUAGAUACGUCUAGUUUGGUUUCUAAUGUCAUUUGUAGCUUGCCAGCUGCGACCUGGUGGUUGGUGGCAACUCGAUCCACUCCCGGAUCCUUCUUCUUCCACUUCCCCGCCGGCGAGGUUAGCUGCGACCGGGUGGUUGGUGGCGGUUUGAUCCACUCCUGGAUCCUUCUUCCCCUUCCCCGCUGCCUAACACCGAGCACCCGUCAGGGAGCAUGGGAUCGACAACGGCGGCUGAAAACAUGA